rnacentral:lncRNA from 1 species
GACUGCCUUAUCUAAUCCCUUGCAUGCCAGUAUUCGUGGAGUGUGUCCGUAGCAGUCAUCUCUCAUGCAGCAUGUUCUGUUGGUUUGCUUCUGCUGUGUUGCCAUAUUUGCAAUAGAGGAGCUUCAUGGAGCAUGUUUCUGGUGGCACUGUUUGUCACCUAUGCAGGGAACUUUAGGCUUGCUGACCGGAUGUAGCCUCUGCUGUCACUGGCUUCUUGGUUGACUCGUAGGUAUGUUGCUUGGCUGGCUAAAACGCUGUGCUGGCUGGAUGUUUUAAGUGAGGAUAUCUUGCUAUUGCUUGGGCUGUGUUUGGCUUCCUGGGGUGGUUUCAAGCUGUUUGUCCAGCCUACUCUUGCAGGGUGUUCUAUUGGUUGCUUUGCUGUGUUGCUAUUCAGCUUCUAGUGGAAUGAGUCUGCUGCCUCUUGGCUUCUUCUGUACUAGCCUUCUACGCUAGUUGAUGUUGUCCAUUGUGGCCGGCUCUCUAGAGACGGCUUGCUGUAUGGUUCUGUUUAGCUGAUACUUUUGCUGAAUUGGGUGUGACAAUCCCUGGUUUGUGUUGUGAGGAUGGUUCUAGCUCAGCGAAACAGCCUUGCUGUAUUGUAGCUGGCCGCUGGAAUUUAUUCUUGCUCUUGCUUGUUUUGCUGCUGUGAUUUGCAGGUCUUCUUUGCUUCUACUUGCUGCCGGAGCAGGUGCAAAUCCUUUGCCUGCUCUCUUUUGUACGCUGGAGCUUCGAAUCACUUGGCUGGUUGUUCUUAUGUAUUGGACGUUGUUGUUGCCCCUGCUGUUGAUUGGGUUGCAUGGUUUUCUGCCUUCCUAUGUUGGAGCCUUACGUAAUACUGCUGGCGGGAUUUCUUUGCUUGCUCUCCAGCCUUGACUGCCCUAUCUAAUCCCUUGCAUGCCAGUUUUUGGGGAGUGUGUCCGUAGCAGUCAUCUCUCAUGCAACAUGCUUUGUUGGUUUGCUUUUGCUGUGUUGCCAUAAUUGCAAUAGAGGAGCUUCAUGGAGCAUGUUUUCUGGUGGCACUGUUUGUCACCACUGCAGGGAACUCUAGGCUUGCUGACCGGAUGUAGCCUCUGCUGUCACUGGCCUCUUGGUUGAUUCGUAGGUAUGUUGCUUGGCUGGCUAAUAUGCUGUGCUGGCUGGAUGUUUCAAGUGAGGAUAUCUUGCUAUUGCUUGGGCUGUGUUUGGCUUCCUGGG